AGUCGACCACCGUAUAAUGUGGAGGGACUCAAUAUUAUCUAUAAUGUCUUUUUGAUUUGUGUCAACGCAUACAUAAUAGUAGAAACUGUUGUUUGCGCAAAAGCUCUCAAUUAUGGAAUAUUCUGCAAUGGAGAUACCAGGAACAAUACAGAUCCCAUGGAGAUGCGGUUGGCUAAAAUCUCAUGGUUGUUCUAUAUAACAAAAUAUUUAGAGUUGUGUGACACAGGGUUCUAUGUACUGAGAAAGAGGACAUUAUCCUUGAAGUUUAUUCAUCUUUAUCAUCACAGUAGUAUAGUGCUGUUCAUUUGGAUCCAUGUCAAAUGGUUCCCAACUGGAAACAGUUAUCUGGUCAUGAUAGUAAAUUCUGGAGUUCUUGUUAUUUUGUAUAUAUAUUAUAUACUGACUCUACUUGAUCGGAAGUAUCUUCGCUUGAAGAAAUUCAUAACGAUUCUGCAAUUUGUACAAUUCGGUUUUGCCUUCUGUUUUCACUUUGUGUCAAUGAAGAUGAACUGCACUUUCUACCCAAAAUGGUACAACAUUGCUGAAAUUAUCUAUAUUUUCACACUUAUCCUUGCUUUAAUUCGAUACUACGUGAUGGCACAUUACAGUGAUCCAAUAUACAAGAAGGAAAAAUAAAUGGUAAAAAUUGGUUGGUGAAAUAGUGAAUAAAACAAACUAUUCUUCCCUCAAUGGAGUUUUAUUUACGCUUAUAUAACCGCGUUAUAAAGCUUCUUCAUGUGACCAUAAUAAGAACUGCCCGAACUUUGGAAGAUAUAUAUAAUGAAGAAAAUUGAUUUCAAAAUGAAUGACAAUGGUCCUCACUUUCUUAUUUGUUAUUAUAAUCAUCUAGUGACAAACCGAAAUUCGGUCGGUCCUAAAAGGUGUGCCAGAGCCAUAAUAACGGUUUUUCAAGGUCAAAGGUUAAAAAGACACUAGAGAGCGCAUUCAUCAUGCGAAUGGGGUCAUGUUUGGGGUCGUUGGAAAGGUCUUGGAAUUUCCAACAAAACUGAACCGCUUCUAAUCGGUUUUGAACCGGUAAUGGACCGGUUCAUAACCAAUAACUAAUUUUUAUGCGAAAAUUAAUUCUAUUACUUUUAAAACUGUUAUAGGGGAUCUUUUGAGUGAUUUAUGAAUUGGUUCAAAUCGGUUGAGAACCGGUAAACGGUAAAUGAUGCGAAAGUACUUUUGCGGUAUAGCAUCUAAGUCACGAGUUCGAGCAUUUCGCAAAGCCUGGGACACUUUGUCACCCCUUUUAAAAUAUAUUAGAUUGCGGAGUCAUAUUUAUUCAGAAACAUAAGAAAAAAUUAUUCAUUAUAAAGUUUGGAACUUGAAAUCGUACGAAACACGGGCACUUUCCGCUAUUAUUAUGAAGUUAGCACAAAAUAAUGAAUACACGAAGAUAACAGUUGCUAAAACUCAUCUGAAAAAAAGUAAAACGUAAAAACGUACAAUUAGAUGAGAUUCUUUACGAUCUCAGCUUUUUUCAACUUUUUUUCAGGAAAAUGUUAGGUUAAAUGUUCUAAUUUAAAACCAUUUCCAGACGCUUUAACUUUGACAGAUGAUUCAACACAUUAAGUACAUACAUUAUUUUUUCUGAAGAGAAGGAGGUGUUUAUGUUUGCAGAGGCGUAGCGAGGGUUUCUAGCGCCCCCGGCGGUAAGACUAGUGUGCCGCCCCCCCCCCUAUUUUUUUCUAAACUUUUUUUAAACUAAGUUAUUGCAUAUUUUCAUGGAAAUAGUGAAAAUUUUUGAAAGUUAAUUAUUAUAUUAAUAUAGCACAUAUGGGCCAAUCCAUCUCAAGACGACCAUAGGGGUACCCUUCAUGGUCUCAGAUGUUUCUGAAUUUUACAUAUGUUAAAAUACACGAUCAAAUAAUAUAUACCCCUAUUUUUUUUCGCCCAAAAAAAAAUUUCUGGCCGGAGAUACAUGGCGUCAAAGAUGGCGUCUCGCGCUUCAUUCGUCAAAUGAGAUUUUUGGCAAAUAUUUCAAAAUGCUCUAUCUCGCGAACGGGUUGAGAUUUCUUCUUACUCUUUUUUUUUAUUUGAAAGAUAAUUUUAUACUCUUUAAAACGAUAUACAGUAGACUCUUUGAUAUCCGGCUGACUGGGGGACAAAAUGACAUUUAGGUUUUUUGAAUGAUCAACGGUUUUUCUAUUUUGUGCAGUGUGAAUUUAUUUUCUGUCUGACAAAGAAAAAGAGGAUCUUCAUGGUGUGCUUAUGUUUCAUUUUUUAUCACAAUUAUGUAUUAAAAACUUCGAUACAAUGUUAAUAAUACUUUAAUUCACUCUGGACAAACUUCAUGUUUAGUGAAAAUAAUUUUGAAUAUAUCAACCGCCAGUGUUUGGCAGCUGUCACCCGGAUAUCGAAGUGCUGGAUAUCGAAGAGUCUACCUACUGUACUAGUUUUGCAUUAUCUGCUCAAGUUUUUUUGUAACGGUUUUUUGAAUUUUUUUUGAAAAAAAAAAUAAAAAUUAAUUUUUCUCAAAAACCCCAUUCUCAAAAAUUUUCAUUUCUUUACUGUUGAUCAGUAGCAUUGAGUACUACAUUUCCUGAAAAGGCGAGCUUCCACUUUUGCGCUUAUUUUUUUAAAAAAAUAUUCAAAUUUUUACAACAUUUUUAAAAAAGGCAUUUUUAUUAGAAAAUAAAAAAUAAAUAAAUUUUCAAAAACGGGAAAUCGAAAAGUUUUGCUUUUUUAACUGUUUAUAUUUUUAAAAAAAUAUUCAAAUUUUUACAACAUUUUUAAAAAAGGCAUUUUUAUUAGAACUUAAAAAAUAAAUAAA